rnacentral:rRNA from 1 species
AGAGUUUGAUCAUGGCUCAGAACGUACGCUGGCGGCACGCCUAACACAUGCAAGUCGAACGAAGUAGCAAUACUUAGUGGCAGACGGGUGAGUAACAUGUGGGUAUCUACCCUUUGGCCUGGAAUAACACGAGGAAACUUGUGCUAAUACCGGAUAAGUCUUUACGGAGAAAGCUUUAUGCACCAUUGGAUGAGCCCGCACUUGAUUAGUUUGUUGGUAGGGUAAUGGCCUACCAAGACUAUGAUCAAUAGCUGAUUUGAGAGGAUGAUCAGCCACAUUGGGACUGAGACACGGCCCAAACUCCUACGGGAGGCAGCAGUGGGGAAUCUUGCACAAUGGAGGAAACUCUGAUGCAGCGAUGCCGCGUGAGUGAAGAAGGCCUUUGGGUUGUAAAGCUCUUUCGUCGGGGAAGAAAAUGACUGUACCCGAAUAAGAAGGUCCGGCUAACUUCGUGCCAGCAGCCGCGGUAAUACGAAGGGACCUAGCGUAGUUCGGAAUUACUGGGCUUAAAGAGUUCGUAGGUGGUUGAAAAAGUUGGUGGUGAAAUCCCAGAGCUUAACUCUGGAACUGCCAUCAAAACUUUUCAGCUAGAGUAUGAUAGAGGAAAGCAGAAUUUCUAGUGUAGAGGUGAAAUUCGUAGAUAUUAGAAAGAAUACCAAUUGCGAAGGCAGCUUUCUGGAUCAUUACUGACACUGAGGAACGAAAGCAUGGGUAGCGAAGAGGAUUAGAUACCCUCGUAGUCCAUGCCGUAAACGAUGUGUGUUAGACGUUGGAAAUUUAUUUUCAGUGUCGCAGGGAAACCGAUAAACACACCGCCUGGGGAGUACGACCGCAAGGUUAAAACUCAAAUGAAUUGACGGGGACCCGCACAAGUAGUGGAGCAUGUGGUUUAAUUCGAAGAUACGCGCAGAACCUUACCAACACUUGACAUGUUCGUCGCGACUCUAAGAGAUUAGAGUUUUCGGUUCGGCCGGACGAAACACAGGUGCUGCAUGGCUGUCGUCAGCUCGUGUCGUGAGAUGUUGGGUUAAGUCCCGCAACGAGCGCAACCCU